rnacentral:rRNA from 1 species
GACGAGCGCUGGCGGCGUGCUUAACACAUGCAAGUCGAACGGAAAGGCCCUGCUUUUGUGGGGUGCUCGAGUGGCGAACGGGUGAGUAACACGUGAGUAACCUGCCCUUGACUUUGGGAUAACUUCAGGAAACUGGGGCUAAUACCGGAUAGGAGCUCCUGCUGCAUGGUGGGGGUUGGAAAGUUUCGGCGGUUGGGGAUGGACUCGCGGCUUAUCAGCUUGUUGGUGGGGUAGUGGCUUACCAAGGCUUUGACGGGUAGCCGGCCUGCGAGGGUGACCGGCCACAUUGGGACUGAGAUACGGACCAGACUCCUACGGGAGGCAGCAGUGGGGAAGAUUGCACAAUGGGCGGAAGCCUGAUGCAGCAACGCCGCGUGCGGGAUGACGGCCUUCGGGUUGUAAACCGCUUUCGCCUGUGACGAAGCGGGAGUGACGGUAAUGGGUAAAGAAGCACCGGCUAACUACGUG